rnacentral:lncRNA from 1 species
UUCUGCAGAACAAAAGGCUCAUUACUUUUGCCUAAUUAAAAUGGGGAAGCAAACAGUGAAGCUAAAAUAGCAGGGUGGUGUCACAUGACCAUUUCUUAUUAGGGCCUUUUUUUUUUUUUUCUUUUCAGGUCUCUGGACACUCUUUUCUACUGAGCCUAGCUUCUGUGUUUCUACUAAACCAAGAUGCACCUGGAAUUGAGCAUGUAAUUCUAGCAUUUACCAAGCUGUGUUAAAAUCUCCUCAGAUUUUAGAGAAAAACUCCCCAGUCUUGCUUCCAGGGUCUCCAUAUAGUUGGAAGAGUUUCCUUAAGGAGGAAAUGAGAGUUCAUGAGUACAGAGUCACCAGCAGCCCAGAGCUCAGAACUGCUGCUGUAGAGGACAAAAAGCUGUUGUCAUAUCAAAGGAACAGUAUAUUGACCUGUGCGUAUACGAGAUAGCAAGUUUUUGAACAUUUCCUUGAUACUGUCUUCCCUCUGACCUUGUAAUCCUGACUGUUUAUAGCAUGGAAGUAACAUCACACAGUCAGUCAUGAUAUAUUAUUGUUUAAUGGUUACAGUCACUGGACAGCUAAGAUACCGAGAAAGUCAACAACUCUCAGAAAGAUACAAUGUGGAAUUGGGAUUGGUAAAUACCAAGUACAGAGACUAUUAUGCUUCCAGGGAAAUUCAAAGUUGUUGAUCAGAAUAUUUCCUUUUUUCAAAACCCAGAUGUUUCUUCCUUUUCUUGAACAUGAACAACAAGGCAAAGAGCUUUGUGCAAGUAGAAAGCGUGGGGGAAACCUGGAGACUGCUAGCCACUUAAAAGGUGAGAGGACGAGGUUUCAUAUUCAGGAGAGGAGGAGAGACAAGAGAAAUUCUCCUAUGAAAAUAUUGCUUUAAAUAAUAAUAAACUAUAAAACUAAUAUCAAUGGCAUAAAUGUGGUAACCAUCUUUAAGAUAUGUAUAAUCUUUUGUAGCAUGCUAGAAAUUUUUUCUCAAGGCAUAACUGUGCUGAGUAUGGUACACAUAGUGGAAUGUAAGAUCAAAGGAGAGAUCAGAGUCAUAUUUUUGAAGGGAAUACUUUUUUUAAAGUCAUAAAUAUAAUAAUUUUCAGUAGAAAAAUGGAAGGAGUAACAGAAUGCUAUAAAAGUGGAAUUAAAAACCUUCAUUUUAUUUUCACUUAAUUAUUAAAUUACAUAAUUAAGAUA